rnacentral:lncRNA from 1 species
UACACUUAUUCCUCGCUGCCGCUUGUAAUAAUCCCUCCGAAGCUGAGGAUGAAAUUGGUUUCUCCGUGAUCUCUCUUUCCACCCUGGGUGAUCCCCAUAGGAUUCUUCACAAGGACGCAAAUCUUUGUCGGGGUUCAUUGGGAGGACCUUUCCCCCUCACCGGCCUCCGCGGACCAGGUUUUUCUCCUUUCAGUCAUUGAAACCACCCUGGCACAGCUGCUCCUCCUUCUGGACAAAUGGUGGCUGUGGUUUUCCUGCCCAGCCCACUACCACUGGGCCGUAGAUGAGAUGGAUAUCUUGUCCAGCCCGCUGCCACUGGACCAUUUCUGCAGGGCCCAUCUAUCACCCCAUCUUGCAGUGUGGAGCCUCGAGUUCUCCAAAUGUCCAGAUCGCAGCUGUCACUGAGCAGUUGCAUCUGUUACACAGUAAAGGAGUCCUAGAGAAGUGCUGCCAAGGGGAACUCAUAAAAAAGCCGCUGCUGGAGACUCAGAUGUGCCCUGCUGAGCGAGGCAGUCUCCUCCUACUUACCGUGCUGCAGUGAGCCGCAGUCACCCGCGGGGGAGUUGAAGAAUAAGUUGAAUAUGGUUGAACACGGUGGCAUCAUACUGCUCAGCCAUCUCUGGGGUUAACUGCAGAUGAGAUAAUUCCUGUAUAACUCCUGGAUCCUCUAGGGCAUUCUGCCACUGUAUCCACACUUCAUGGUACAAGGGCGAAUGGACAGAUCUCCAGCUUCCAAGUGAAACGUGAAGGCGACUCGACAAGGAUUUCUGUUAGGACAAUAGUUUUGCUUCAUGAAGACCAGGAAGGCUUGAACUCAGGACAAUGGGUAUCUUGAAUUUACUCAGUUCCCAUCUCUUAAGUUAUUAAACAUUAUUUCCCACCUGUCUUGUGUAUUUUUGCUUGAUCCCUAUAAUAUGGGGGCAGGCAUAAUUUUGUAUAACCCCUGUAAGACGUGUGCCAGGUACAAUUGGCCCUAUUUCCUAUGUGGGGAAACUGAGACUCAGAGCAGAGAAGCGACUCUCCUAAGUCACACGUUGUAUUGCUGGCAGAGUCUCGGGCAGGAGUCGUGCCUCCUGAUUUCCAGGUACAUGCUGCUUUUGCUAGAACCAAUCUAUUAAAGAACCAAGACUCUUUUAUUUGGAAUUAAUGAGGGAUUCCAAAAAUAGUGUUAGCAGUGCUUAACAAAUUUGAAAGAGCAAAGGAACUGAAGCCAGAGAAGACUGAGAUAGGGGAGCUGUUUCAUUGUAUCAAUUUCUAUUCACUUUGUUAAUAAUUGAUGCCACAUUUACUCAUUGUUAUAUAUUAAAAAUACUUGAUUUGCUACAAGGUAAAAAUGACCCAUUGACUUUGUCUCUCAACCUACGCUAACCCUAAAUGAGAAUCUCAUUGUGACCACGAUUUUGCAAAAUUGAUUAAAUGGAAAUAAAUGCAUUCAAGUGUCAAAGGCUGCAUUGGGAAUGGUUGCUAAUGAGCUUGACCUUUCAGAGCUUCCUGGCUGGGUGCACAGUAGGUGUUCAAUGAGUACUGAUGGAUGUCUUGACUGACUGAGAUUUCGGUUAGCCUUCCAUCCCCGGGAGCAUGGUGCCUCUAAUGUGUUAGAUGGCAUCAUGUUCCAAAAAUGAAUCGAUCUAUAAAUUUGAAGACUAAUUUGGAAACAUUUUAACCUUACUAAACAGAAUAGUAUGAUAAAACCUAGGUACCCUACGCCAGCUUCAAAUCAAUAUUCUGCUGUUUUUGUUUACUUCCCUUAACACACAUCACUGCCUCCCCACCCCCAACACACACACACUUUUUUGUUUUUGAGACAGAGUCUCGCUCUGUCACCGAGGCUGGGGUGUAGUGGCGCCAUCUCGGCUCACUGCAAGCUCCGCCUCCUGGGUUCAUGCCAUUCUCCUGUCUCGGCCUCCCAGUCUCCAGAGUAGCUGGGACUUCAGGUGUCCACUUUUUUUUUUUUUUUUUGGCUGAAGUACCAUAAAGGAAAUUUCAAACAUUGUGUCAUUCACCUGUGAAUAAAUCUGUAUGUACCUCCAAUAGAUAGACUAAAAAAACCACAACCUUAUCACCACAACACAAUUAGCCAUUGUUUCUUAAUAUCAUAGGAGGCCUCUUCCAUGCUGAAUGCUCCAU